rfam:Ophiophagus hannah scaffold5540.1, whole genome shotgun sequence.
UCAAAGGCUCUUAAGAGCCACCAAUAACAUUCUUUAAAUUACUUU